UGGGGAAUAUUGCACAAUGGGCGCAAGCCUGAUGCAGCCAUGCCGCGUGUAUGAAGAAGGCCUUCGGGUUGUAAAGUACUUUCAGCGGGGAGGAAGGGAGUAAAGUUAAUACCUUUGCUCAUUGACGUUACCCACAGAAGAAGCACCGGCUAACUCCGUGCCAGCAGCCGCGGUAAUACGGAGGGUGCAAGCGUUAAUCGGAAUUACUGGGCGUAAAGCGCACGCAGGCGGUUUGUUAAGUCAGAUGUGAAAUCCCCGGGCUCAACCUGGGAACUGCAUCUGAUACUGGAAAGCUUGAGUCUCGUAGAGGGGGGUAGAAUUCCAGGUGUAGCGGUGAAAUGCGUAGAGAUCUGGAGGAAUACCGGUGGCGAAGGCGGCCCCCUGGACGAAGACUGACGCUCAGGUGCGAAAGCGUGGGGAGCAAACAGG
rnacentral:rRNA from 1 species